rnacentral:rRNA from 1 species
UACGUAGGGUGCAAGCGUUGUCCGGAAUUAUUGGGCGUAAAGGGCUCGUAGGCGGUCUGUCGCGUCGGGAGUGAAAACUCAGGGCUUAACCCUGAGCCUGCUUCCGAUACGGGCAGACUAGAGGUAUGCAGGGGAGAACGGAAUUCCUGGUGUAGCGGUGGAAUGCGCAGAUAUCAGGAGGAGCACCGGUGGCGAAGGCGGUUCUCUGGGCAUUACCUGACGCUGAGGAGCGAAAGUGUGGGGAGCGAACAGG